rnacentral:rRNA from 1 species
ACUCCUACGGGAGGCAGCAGUGGGGAAUAUUGCACAAUGGGCGCAAGCCUGAUGCAGCCAUGCCGCGUGUGUGAAGAAGGCCUUCGGGUUGUAAAGCACUUUCAGUUGUGAGGAAGGUGGUGUCGUUAAUAGCGGCAUCAUUUGACGUUAGCAACAGAAGAAGCACCGGCUAACUCCGUGCCAGCAGCCGCGGUAAUACGGAGGGUGCGAGCGUUAAUCGGAAUUACUGGGCGUAAAGCGCAUGCAGGCGGCCUGUUAAGUCAGAUGUGAAAGCCCGGGGCUUAACCUCGGAAUUGCAUUUGAAACUGGCAGGCUAGAGUCUUGUAGAGGGGGGUAGAAUUUCAGGUGUAGCGGUGAAAUGCGUAGAGAUCUGAAGGAAUACCAGUGGCGAAGGCGGCCCCCUGGACAAAGACUGACGCUCAGAUGCGAAAGCGUGGGGGAGCAAACAGGAUUAGAUACCCUGGUAGCACAGAG